AGUCGAACGGGAUCCCAGGAGCUUGCUCCUGGGUGAGAGUGGCGAACGGGUGAGUAAUGCGUGACCGACCUGCCCCAUACACCGGAAUAGCUCCUGGAAACGGGUGGUAAUGCCGGAUGCUCCAGUUGACCGCAUGGUCCUCUGGGAAAGAUUCAUCGGUAUGGGAUGGGGUCGCGUCCUAUCAGCUUGAUGGCGGGGUAACGGCCCACCAUGGCUUCGACGGGUAGCCGGCCUGAGAGGGCGACCGGCCACAUUGGGACUGAGAUACGGCCCAGACUCCUACGGGAGGCAGCAGUGGGGAAUAUUGCACAAUGGGCGCAAGCCUGAUGCAGCGACGCCGCGUGCGGGAUGACGGCCUUCGGGUUGUAAACCGCUUUUGACUGGGAGCAAGCCCUUCGGGGUGAGUGUACCUUUCGAAUAAGCACCGGCUAACUACGUGCCAGCAGCCGCGGUAAUACGUAGGGUGCAAGCGUUAUCCGGAAUUAUUGGGCGUAAAGGGCUCGUAGGCGGUUCGUCGCGUCCGGUGUGAAAGUCCAUCGCUUAACGGUGGAUCCGCGCCGGGUACGGGCGGGCUUGAGUGCGGUAGGGGAGACUGGAAUUCCCGGUGUAACGGUGGAAUGUGUAGAUAUCGGGAAGAACACCAAUGGCGAAGGCAGGUCUCUGGGCCGUCACUGACGCUGAGGAGCGAAAGCGUGGGGAGCGAACAGGAUUAGAUACCCUGGUAGUCCACGCCGUAAACGGUGGAUGCUGGAUGUGGGGACCAUUCCACGGUCUCCGUGUCGGAGCCAACGCGUUAAGCAUCCCGCCUGGGGAGUACGGCCGCAAGGCUAAAACUCAAAGAAAUUGACGGGGGCCCGCACAAGCGGCGGAGCAUGCGGAUUAAUUCGAUGCAACGCGAAGAACCUUACCUGGGCUUGACAUGUUCCCGACAGCCCCAGAGAUGG
rnacentral:rRNA from 1 species